GUCAGUUGCCUGGCUCGGACUCUGCAGUGGAAACACAACCAGGCUGGCUGGCUCAGUGAAGCCACAGCACGGCUCUGUUGUACAGAGGAAAAGAGAUAUUGCAUAUACUGUGCAAUUCACAAUAAACCAGGGUAAUGUGCAGAAAAAUAAAAUAUAUGAAGAAAUAUGAAGAAAAAGCAACAGCCCUCCCCAGGUAGGAAUAAAAAAUCCCCUUCAGCUGUGACUGAAGAAAUAUUGGAAAACAAACCGGCAUCACACAGCCUCAGGAUAGCCGGCUGGCACCAGCCCAAUCACCUGAAUCUGAGAGAACAGAUGAGCUUCUCUAUUAGGGAGUUAAACAGACUCCAUGCCAAAGAAGGACAUUGCUCUGUCAGUACUCUCACUAUAUCAACCAUGGAAAGAUACAAUUCAUCAUGUAAGGACGGCUCUUGGCCUUUCAUCAGCAUUCAUUAAAAUUAACAUUUCAUGACAUACUUUUGAAAAAAUAAAGAAACCGUAUUCAAGACAUGCUUUUAAUAUAGCUGCUUUAGUGGUACAGUGCCACAAAUAGAAGAAAAUGUGCUGCUUAGUAUAGGGAAGGCUGUUUGUCACUGUCCUACCUGAACAAAAUGAAUGCCUUUAUUACACCUUGGUCCAAGGCUUCCAAGAUGUGUGUGAGAAGAGCCAUCAAUUCCUGCAGUGCAAGAGCAUGGCGUUGCAGGUUAAGAUGAUCCCAAAAAUGUAAUAUUGGGCUCAUGUCUGGACACUGUGGAAACGGGCAGAUCUAAUGCAAUCAGACUGACCAAAGCAUGAAACAACUGCCUUGGCAUCCAUAAGUGAGCCCUACCGGACACAGAUGGGAUCCUCUUAACAGAACCAUGUUGCUCCUAAACAUAACCCAGCAAUCUUCAGGGAUUUAAAGUUUUCUACUUGACAUUGGGCAAAUGUGUGCCACUGACUCUCAUUGAUGUUUGCCACUGUAACCAUGUAAACGACCUGUAACCAUGUAAACGACCCAUCUAAAGUUACACUUUCUUCUGGAAAAUAGUGGCUGAGUGUAUGUAUAGGCCCCUCUCUGUUAUUAUCAAUAGUACAAACAGCGAGAAGGGAAAGCACUAGCCUGAGUUUCUGGGUCUCUAAUAGCAUACAUAAUGCAUAAACUAGAUAUAUUGUCAAUAAAACUUCCCUGCAUAUACGAGUUACUUAUACUGGGGGUGGGACCUGCUUUGUAGGGACUGUUUCCACAUCCUGAAGGGGUAUCAUUCAAAAGCACAUUUUGGUCCAUUUCCAAAUGAUUUGUAAUUGCAUUCAAUAGACAGAUAAAAUCAAGAAAUAAAUCAGCUGCUAACAUAACUACAGUGGCACUCCGAGUUCCCUUUGUGGAGAUGUUAUUAGUUUGAUUGAUACCUGUUAUUAUCUGCUAUUGUUGAACUGAGGGGGUUAUUUUGUUACUGGUGUUCGUCAGCAGUGCAAGCAUCACCUCUGAGGGUCUUUAAAGUUUGUCUGUCUGGCUGUGAGUCGUGAUUUUGUGUGCAUGUUUAUGGUAAGUGCACUUAGGAGUUGCAUAGUUUACUUAUUAGGUACUGCCCUACAAAACACUGUUUUCUGCUUUUUUAUUGACUCUGCCUUACAUGAUAACUGUGUAAAAAAAAUAAUGUGUAUGUGUAUUAAUGUGUAUGUGUAUUUUUUCAAGCCAGAUUGCAUGGGCAUAUCCCUUCCUUCAUGACAGUCUUGACCCCCCCCCCCCCCCCUAUCAACAAGCUAUAUUUUACAAGGGAAUGAUGCACUGUAUCUAUAACAGAAACCUCAAAACAACCUAUUACCGGGCAUUCAUGGUAAUAUCAUUGCCGCUUGGUCAACAGGUUGAAAAUAAAUAAUGGGGACAUGCAGUCCUCACUGUACUGUACAGUUGUAUAUGAAAAAAGGGACAUUUUUAUUGUUGUGAAUUAGCCUUAGGCAGGACACACCAGUAUACUAUAUCAUAUUAUGUUUAAUAUUUGCUGUCCAAUUAACCUAGUCGAAGAAUUACCAAACUGUGAAAUGCUGUAACACUGAAGCAGUGUACUUUCAGAGAUCUCCCCAAUCUCCAUGUCAGAGAAGCAGAGUACUCCACUGGGGGGUUUCUAACAGCUGCAUACCAGCGGAUGGCAGUAAUUGAAGGGGUGUGCAUUCGCUCUAGACAGUCUGAUAAACUUACCUGCCACACCUUGUUUGGGGCUCCACAUGGAGCACUAAACUUCCCUGACAUGCAGUUUAGGGAGAACCCUGAUACUUCAUAGCCAUGUUGUUUAUUACAGGCUUUUCUUAGAUCUUAGCCUAGGUUGGUGUGCUCGUGAGUCACCACCGGCUGUAUCACAUGUACUCUGUUCUGAUGCUUUGCAAUCUGACGGACACAAUUCAGUAUGGCGUUUCCAUCAAGCCUGAUAUUAUUUCCUCAGUAGGAAUCACAUGACUGCAUUUAUCAUUGAAACUAUCAAAAGGCAGCAGCAUAAUUUCCCACAAACGGCAUGUUGACAUUUUACACCAAGGUCCCUAGAUAACUUUGAGACCUUGGCUACAGCCGGUCAUGUUGAAGGGGAUUGUGAAUUAUGAAUGCAGCUCAUUUUACGAUGAACCGAAUUGUAAACAGAACAUCAAAAAAUAAAUGGUGACCCACAAACCUUUUGCCCUUGGUCAUUCAUUUGGAGGUCUCCUAUAACAUUUUUAUAGACAGUAUUUAAAUAAUGGAACCUUCUUUUAUAACUGAUAUAGAAGGC